GCUGGAGUCUGCAGGAGUUGCCACCUUCGUCUUCCCCCAACUGGUCCUCGAGGAUGGCACGUCGAUCAAGGUUCAUGAGGGAAUGGGCGCAAGCCUGAACCAGCCAUCCCGCGUGCAGGAAGACGGCCCUAUGGGUUGUAAACUGCUUUUCCAGGGGGAGAAUUUUUCUGUCGUGACAGGAAUUGACGGUACCCUGGGAAUAAGCAUCGGCUAACUCCGUGCCAGCAGCCGCGGUAAUACGGAGGAUGCGAGCGUUAUCCGGAUUUAUUGGGUUUAAAGGGUGCGUAGGCGGUUAGAUAAGUCAGUGGUGAAAACCUGCAGCUUAACUGUAGACUUGCCGUUGAUACUGUCAGUCUUGAGUAUGGUCAAGGUAGGCGGAAUGUGUAAUGUAGCGGUGAAAUGCUUAGAUAUUACACAGAACACCGAUUGCGAAGGCAGCUUGCUGGGCCAUUACUGACGCUGAUGCACGAAAGCGUGGGGAUCGAACA
rnacentral:rRNA from 1 species